AUUUUCCAUCUGUUCGAUGAAAUGCCAACACCGUCCUCCACAAUCGGCUAUCCAAUCCAAGCUCACGAUGAUACCACAGAGGAUAAGGAGACAUAUAUCCUCUAAUCGAAGACUAUAUGAACCUCUCGGUAUAUGCUUCCGGCAUCUCGUCUUAUUCUCCUUCCACCUUCAAAACUCACGAGACAACAAAGCCGACAUCACUCUCUCUCUCUACAAGCAAAACUACUCACAGACCUUCCCUUUUCUCUGUGUUAGCUAGCUAUGGCUAACACCACUACAAUACCCAUCUCCUUUCUUCCCCAUAACAACGCUCUUCUUUCCUCUUUCACCUGCAAAACUCUUCGUUUUUCUUAUUUUAACUCUACCCACUUCAGCAAAUCUCCUUCUUCUCCUCCUUUACUCUCCUUCCCUUCCUCUUCCCAGCAACCGUCGUGGUCUUGUUUCUCAGUCGCCCGCGUUUCUACCGUUCCUGUAGAGUACUCUCCGCCAGCUCCCGAUGAUCAUUUCCACCAAGAAAUUUCCCGACUUAAGUCUCUCCUCUCGAAGCUCGCCGGCUCGGAAUCUCUGUACCAUAAGCUCUUAGUGCUUGAUGCUGAUUCUCGGGUGAAACAUUUCUUCAAUUCGCAUAGAAAUGGGGUCUGUAAGGCUUUGGCUUUGCUUAAUUUGGGUUCGAGAGAGUUGUUUUUGCUUAAGUGUUUAGUGGCGGCUGGGCAAGAGCAUGUGCUUAGUUUGGGGAUUGAAUUGGUGGAGAAUGAGGUGGAGUCUGCGAGGAAUUCGGUGAAGAGUGCGCUUUAUGCGUUGGCGGAGAUGAUUGGGAGGUUUGAUUUCAGUGAGAAUGGAGAGUAUAGUUUAAGGAAGAGUGAUACUGGGUUGUAUUUGAACGAAGAGGAUAUCGGGGACUUGAGAAAGUUGUUGAAGACUUUAGGAGAGAUUGAACAGUUCUAUGAUUGCAUUGGAGGUAUCAUUGGAUAUCAGAUAAUGGUACUGGAGCUUCUUGCCCAGUCAACUUCUGAAAAGCAAACCAUGAAUUGGUCACAUCACAUUCAAGAAUCAAUGGAAUGCCAGUUUUUGGAAAUUCAUGCCCCUAAUGUAGUUGACCUUUCAAAAAAUACAGAGUAUGCGUCUCAAGCAGCUCUAUGGGGAAUUGAGGGUUUGCCAGACCUCGGAGAAAUUUAUCCUCUGGGUGGUUCUGCAGACCGGCUUGGUUUGGUUGAUCCAGACACAGGUGAGUGUCUUCCUGCUGCAAUGCUUCCUUAUUGUGGACGGACUUUAUUGGAAGGCCUUAUAAGAGAUCUUCAGGCUAGGGAGUUCUUGUACUACAAGCUGUAUGGAAAACAAUGCAUCACCCCUGUUGCAAUCAUGACAAGUUCAGCUAAGAAUAACCACGAGCGUAUCACUUAUCUUUGUGAAAGGCUCAGCUGGUUUGGAAGAGGUCGAUCCAAUUUCCAACUCUUUGAGCAGCCUCUUGUUCCUGCUGUUGGUGCAGAAGAUGGGCAAUGGUUGAUAACAAAACCAUUCACACCUGUUUCAAAGCCAGGUGGACAUGGCGUCAUUUGGAAACUAGCUUAUGAUAAGGGAAUCUUCGAGUGGUUUUAUGAUCAUGGAAGAAAAGGUGCAACUGUACGACAAGUCAGUAAUGUUGUGGCUGCUACAGACUUGACCCUUUUGGCAUUGGCAGGGAUUGGUUUACGCCGUGGAAAGGUAGGGUCAGAUAUAUAGGUUGAAGUUGACAAUUUGGUUUUGUCCAUCUGUGCCCCUGGCCCACCGCUUCCCUUAUUCCUUUUUCUUUCUUUUCCUCAUGCGGGGGACUAACAAAAUGAUAUGUGCAGACCAUGGCAUUGGCAAUAUUAAACUAAGGGGUCCAUUACUGCGUAAUUUCUCCACGAUAAUAAGGAUUCAGUAUAUUUUCCAUAUAAUUUGCACGUCUCUAGCUUAACUCUAUUUGUUAUUUUGUUUGCAACUAUGCUGAAUAAUGUUCCGUCUGAUUGAGGGGCUCGAAGUAGAAAGAACCACAACAUUUUUUUUAGUUGAUGCUUAUGGAAGUUGAAUUUGAAGAAUAAAAUUGCAAGUAGAGCCCCGUUGAAAUAGUCUUCUCUCCUGUUGAAUAUAAUCAAGGUUUUGUUAACCUUGAGGGAAAAAUCACCUCUAGUUCUACAAAGAUUCCUUGAAGAUCUGAAUCUUUUUCACCUUGUCUUAGUCGUUACACAUUGUGCAUGCAACAGAAAUUAGGCUUUGCAUCUUGCAAGCGUAACUCAGGGGCCGCAGAAGGAAUCAAUGUCCUUAUCGAGAAGAAGACUCUUGAUGGAAAGUGGGCUUAUGGUCUGUCAUGCAUUGAGUACACAGAGUUUGAUAAGUUUGGAAUCACAAGUGGGCCUUGUUAUUCUAAAAGUUUGCAGGCAGAGUUUCCUACCAAUACAAACAUUCUCUAUGUGGAUUUGUCUUCAGUGGAGUCAGUUGCAUCAAGUGAUGGUGUAAAAAGUUUACCUGGCCUGAUAUUGAAUACAAAGAAGCCGAUUGCAUACAAGGACCAUUUUGGGAACUGUCAUAGUGUCUCUGGUGGCCGGCUGGAAUGCACAAUGCAAAAUAUUGCAGACAAUUUUUUAAAUACUUUUUUGUCCAGAUGCUACCAGGGUGUAGAAGAUAAGCUAGAUACCUUUAUUGUGUAUAACGAACGAAGAAGGGUCACGUCAUCUGCUAAGAGGAAGAGAAAACAUGCAGACAAAUACUUGCACCAGACUCCUGACGGUGCACUGUUGGAUAUCUUACGGAAUGCCUAUGAUCUUCUUUCCCUUUGCGAUAUUGAACUUGCAAAGGUUGAAGGUAAUGACAGAUAUGUUAAUUCUGGACCACCAUUUAUAAUUUUUCUGCAUCCUUCUCUUGGCCCACUUUGGGAGGUCACAAGGCAAAAGUUUUGUGGAGGAUCGAUUUCCAAGGGCUCUGAGCUACAACUUGAGGUGGUGGAGUUCUUGUGGAGGAAUGUCGAGCUCGAUGGGAGCUUAAUUGUUAUUGCUGCAAAUGCAAUGGGCUCAACCAGGAUUGAUGCAAAUGGUGAGACAAUAUUGCAGUAUGGACACAGGUGUGGAAGAUGUAGACUGCAAAAUGUCAAAGUUCUCAAUAAAGGGAUUGACUGGAGUUGUGGCGAAAAUGUGUACUGGAAACAUAGCGUACAACGAUUUGAGGCAUUUAAAGUUAUUCUGCAUGGGAAUGCAGAAUUUGAGGCCAACAAUGUUAUCCUAGAGGUUUGAUUGACAAAACAAGCAUUUACUCUGCACAGGUUAAUUGUAUGGCUUCUACAAAAAGUAAAAUUACAGAGAUUGCCCAGAAUCAUUAGAUGCUAGGAAUUAGAACCUACUGCUAGAGCUCCCACAUAUAAGUUUCAUAUGAUGAAACCUAUAUUCAAUUAGUUACGUCCUUUGUUUUCAAGUAAAAUCCAUCUUCUCUCCAGAAAAAAGAAACAGUUUUUAUAUGUAAAAAACCUGAUGGCUGCAAAUUGUUCAUCUUGGCCAAAUGGAAUGUGGUUGUUACUGUGAACUUCCUGAUUCUGAAGUUGAUUGCUAAUCUUAGCUCUCUUGCUAGCAUUGUAUAUUAAAAAUCUUAUGUUGCUCUACCUUAUCAUUUUUUCCUCUUUUAUUUUUUUUUUUGCUGUGCCAGGGUAAUCAUGUAUUUGAAGUUCCAGAUGGCUACAAAAUGAAGAUCAUAUCAGGAUAUUCAGGUUUGUUAUCGUUGAUAUUAGAACAUCUGAUAGUGCAAGUGUUCCCAGCAGCUACCUUUGAUCUCAAUGUACGCACCCUGACAUCCACACACAGGUCACACGUGUCGCUGUAUGUUUGCAUUAUAAUCAUACAAUUGAAGGCUAUCUGCAUCAAUGGUUACCUUGGAAAAUGGAUAUGAAUGAUAGUAUAUGGCAUUCUUCCUCCUCAUCUGGCUUAAUGACCAAAAUGAGAAAGCAGGUUGCAUGCUGUACAUCGGUGUAUCUCUUAUUUGAGGAUUUUAGUUUCAGUGCAAGUCAAAUAUGCCAACCUCUGUCCAAGUACAUGUGCUUGGAUCCUAGAGCCAGGCUCACCGUUUUCUGUCUAAUGUUCUACAUAGUUCCAAGGGAACCUGCGUCCGUAAUUAUGCUUCUACUACUAAAAUUUGCUGAAGUUUUACAAUGUAGAGGAAACUAGGCUAGAGAUUUUAGUCUUUUCUAACUUAUCCACAUAAUCUUGAGUAUGACUAAACUGUGAAAGCGUUUGAUAUAUAUCCCACUAUUGCUGUAUCCAUUGAAACCUUACUAAUCAACCAUUCAUAUUUUCCGUUCAACGCAGGCUUGGAAGUCCAGGUCAACCCCAUAGAACCAAAUAUGAUGGAAACUGGAAGCUGGUUUUGGAACUACAAGAUAAAUGGCACACACAUUCUUUUGGAAUUGGUAGAGUUGUAAAUAUUAGAAUUUCUGUAAUAUCGCUCUGUGAAUCUUCGUUCACAAAUCAAACUCGGAGCGCAUCUUCACAUCAUGAUUGGUUGUAACAUAAGUUAAACCAUCUGAAAUCUAGUAGUAAUAUGUCUUAAGUUAGAGCCUUGUAAGACCUGUAUGGUCCUGGUUAGCUGUUUUAAUAUUUCCUUUUCUUGCUGGAGCUGUGUAAAUCCAGUGUGCAAACAGUGUAAAAUUCUGAAGCAAUAAAAAUUACGCAGUUUCUUUUUAAAAA
rnacentral:misc_RNA from 1 species